CCCACAAUAAAUGGUACUGGCCUGUAGGUUCAAGUUUGUAGUGGGACAGCGCAGCACUCUCGGUCUCCCUGGUGCAGCUAGGCAAACUGCUGGUGUUGCUUGGGGGGCAGAGGCCAGCGGCGCUCUGCCCUGCUGCCAGCUCUUCCACUGGGGUAACCCGUGGUAAGUCAGGCUCUGAUACAGGGGAAAAGGGGGGGCAGAGGCUAACAGAGCUCUGCCCAGAGGCCAGCUCUUCUGCUGGGAGGGGGUCAGUGGGUAUCGCAGGCUCAUCCACUGCCCCCAGGACCCGGUUGGGAUGUAGCUGGGGAGGGGAAGUUUUACUUACCUCCUCCUCCUGGCAUCCCUGCGGGGUUGGUUGGGGAUCUGGACCGCCCGUCCAGCCUCCCUGUAGGACUGGCACAGAGACUGCGGUCCCAUCUGCGCCAGUGUGGUUAGGUUUGUCUUCCCCCUCUCCCGGUAUCUCUGGCUGCUGUUGGAGAGGGAGGCUGGUUGCCC